GACGAACGCUGGCGGCGUGCUUAACACAUGCAAGUCGAACGGAAAGGCCCUGCUUUUGUGGGGUGCUCGAGUGGCGAACGGGUGAGUAACAUGUGAGUAACCUGCCCUUGACUUUGGGAUAACUUCAGGAAACUGGGGCUAAUACCGGAUAGGAGCUCCUGCUGCAUGGUGGGGGUUGGAAAGUUUCGGCGGUUGGGGAUGGACUCUCGGCUUACCAGCUUGUUGGUGGGGUAGUGGCUUACCAAGGCUUUGACGGGUAGCCGGCCUGAGAGGGUGACCAGCCACAUUGGGACUGAGAUACGGACCAGACUGCUACGGGAGGCAACGGUGGGGAGUAUUGCACAGUGGGCGGAAGCCUGAUGCAGCAGCGCCGCGAGCGGGAUGACGGCCUUCGGGUUGUAAACCGCAUUCACCUGUGACGAAGCGUGAGUGACGGUAAUGGGUGAAGAAGCACCGGCUAACUACGUG
rnacentral:rRNA from 1 species